rnacentral:misc_RNA from 1 species
CACAAUAAAAUAUGAAGGCUGUACGCGGCUGUGCUCUCGGGCCAGCUUUGCGGAGGCUGAAUUAUUUAUUACCCUUGUCUUUUGCGCACUUGUUGUUUCCUGGGCGGGUUCGCCCGCCACCAGGACCACAUCAUAAACCUUUUUUAUGCAGUUGCAAUCAGCGUCAGUAUAACAAAUGUAAAUCAUUUA